CACGUAGGGUGCGAGCGUUGUCCGGAAUUAUUGGGCGUAAAGAGCUCGUAGGCGGUGUGUCGCGUCGGCCGUGAAAACCUGCAGCUUAACUGUGGGCUUGCGGUCGAUACGGGCAUCACUGGAGUUCGGCAGGGGAGACUGGAAUUCCUGGUGUAGCGGUGAAAUGCGUAGAUAUCGGGAGGAACACCAGUGGCGAAGGCGACUACCUGGCCUGUUCUUGACGCUGAGGCGCGAAAGCUAGGGGGAGCAAACAGG
rnacentral:rRNA from 1 species